rnacentral:lncRNA from 1 species
AUUGUCCAUUGUAUCAGAAUUCGUUAACCUAGAAAUUUUUCAUCCUUUCGCCAUUGUUCAUGGCAAUUGAACCUUUGUCUUGUCACAAGAAGUUAAGUUACUCACUCUUACUCAAUCAACAACAUAUUUUGUUAUUUUUGUUUAUAUAAGAUUGAUUGAAAUCAUCUAAUUGAGGAAUUAUGUUGUUGUUUUGAUUUUAAUUUGUGGUAGAACCGAGACUUAAUAUGAAUCCUGAUUAUUAUUUUUUUGUUACUUUUUAGAUUAACCCACAACAAGUGUCACCUGCUAGUGUAAAUUUAACAACAAAGACAACAGUAGUUUUUGAAUUGUGAGUAGCUUAUUUUCUUGUUAGUGUUAUUAGUUAUGCUUCAUUCAAGUCUGAACACUAAGUGAUGAAUUUUCUGGUUCUUUGGCAGAAUUUUUUUUUAAAACAAUUACAAGCUUGUCUUAUAGCUUUCAAAGAAUUAGCUCGAUGUGGUGAAGGUCAAAUGAN